GCCAGCAUGACUUAAUGGUUUAAGUGUUGGACUAUGUCUCUGGAGACCAAGGUUCAAUUCCUAGAUCAGCCA